UACGGAGGGUGCAAGCGUUGUCCGGAUUAUUUGGGUUUUAAAGGGUGCGUAGGCGGCCCGUUAAGUCAGUGGUGAAAGCCUCCAGCUCAACUGGAGAACUGCCAUUGAUACUGGCGGGCUUGAGUACAGACGAGGUUGGCGGAAUUGAUUGUGUAGCGGUGAAAUGCAUAGAUACAAUCAAGAACCCCGAUUGCGUAGGCAGCUAACUAGGCUGUAACUGACGCUGAGGCACGAAAGCGUGGGGAGCGAACAGG
rnacentral:rRNA from 1 species